AGAGGGAGAGAGAGAGAAUCCCAGGCAGGCUCUGUGCCAUCAACACGGGGCUGUACGCAGGGCUCAAACCCAUGACUUGUGAGAUCAUGACCUGAGUCGAAAUCAAGAGUCUGGACACUUAACCCACUGAGCCACCCAGGCACCUGUAAAGGGGGAUGAUUUUAAAGCUGCUUGUUUGACUUUACUCUUGAUUUUUUAUUUCUUAUCAACACUUUCUUCUUCAGAUUUAGUUUAAAAGUUUCAGUUGGUGUAUUUAAGGUUUUAAAGUGCCUUUCCCCUCAGCACUAUGCCUGCCUGGGGCAUUCUGACGUUCCCCUGGUUUGUGCAGUGUCUCUUGUGCAAGCUGAUUAUCUUCCUCUGUCCAAUUCUUUGUGCUUCUAUUUUCUUACCACUCUACUUUUUCGCUUCUCCACACAAUGUGCUAGAUAUUCUUGCCUUUUUCCCUCUAUUAUGUUUCUGUUGGGGGUAUAAUUCUUGGGAUCUUCAACAUGGUGCGUUCUGGUCCUUUCCUGCCAUUGACGAUAGUAAUGUGACAACUCAGCACGGGGGUCUGGCAUCUCUUCAUGUCUCCCUAAACCAUGGGGCUGGGCAAGCCUUUAUGGCUCUUGUAAUCCUGCCACGCCCCAUCCCACCUCUACCUCUAUAGGUAAGGAAGAGGCUCCUUUGUCCUGUAGGAUUCAUCCUUCCAAACCCAGUUUACUUUCACCUUCUUUGCAUCUUUUCCGACACACACAGGAAAUCGUCCUCAUGCUUCCACUCUGACGCACGUGUGCUUUGAUUAUUUGAUUUGCUGUGCUCUUAGAAUCCAGUUCCAUUCAGUAAAUGGGAGUUUUUCCCUAGGGGACAGGCACAGUAAUGGGGGUAAGAUGCUUCUUAUCCAACAGGGCAGUAGAGAGAGAUGGUCACAAAUACUGCACUUAAUUACUUUGCCCUGUUACAUAUUUACCAUUGACACAACCCUUCCACUCUACUAUGCUGUGACUAUCAUAGGACAGGGAUCAUGCCUUGUUGGUUUUUUUUCGCCUCUCCAGGAAAAGGCCCUGAAAUAUGGGCUAGAACUUAAUGUGUUGCAUACAUGAAGUAUGUAUAUUUUACUUUUCUUUUGAUCUGCAUACCAUAACUAUGCAAAGCACUUACUUAUCGACCCACAGAAAAUGCAGGGUUAAAACCCAGUCUCUAAACUCCCAGUUUGACACUUUGUCCAUGUCACUACAUAAUUGGAACGUUCCGAGUAGUAAUGGCCACAGUUGUGGGAGAAUGUACUAAGUUUUUUCUUGGUUUUUAAUUAUAAAAUUGAUAAUAAAAUGCUUAAUACUGUAUUCAAAGAAAGCCUUCCUCCUAACCCUUACAGACCCCUGUUCCCCUCUCCAGAAGCAACCACUGUUUCUGGUUUUAUGUGUAUAUUUCUAGAGUUACUUUUGUGCAUAUAAGCACAUGCCUACCUGUGUGUUUUUGUGUAGAUACAUGCUUUUUUAAAUUCAAAUGUUAACGUACUACAAAUUCUUAUGUUUCUUUUUGCACUUGAUAACCUAUCUUGGAGAUAAUUUCAAUCAGUACUUAAAAAGCUGCCUUGUUCCUUUUUUAAAAAAAAUAAAUGUAUCUAUUCUAUACCAGA